ensembl:lncRNA
CAUGAGGUUUACAAGCACCUAAAACACUGAGGCAGAAGAGCCUUCCUCUCCAGCCCCAGGAGAUGUGGUCCCGUGGUGGGCAGGAGAGACGCUGGGCAGGGAGAAGCAGUAGAAAGCAAUCCCAUGGGCCGGGCAUGGUGGCUCACACCUGUAAUUCCAGCACUUUGGGAGGCUGAGGCGGGUGGAUUACCUGAGGUCAGGAGUUCGAGACCAGCCUGGCCAACGUGGUGAAGACCCCAUCUCUACUAAAAAUAUAAAAAUCAGCCGGGCUUGGUGGCGCACGCCUGUAAUCCCAGCUACUCGGGAGGCUGAAGCAGGAGAAUUGCUUGAGUCCAGGAGACGGAGGUUAUAGCGAGCCGAGAUCUUGCCGCUGCACUCCAGCCUGGGAAACAGAGUGAGACUCCAUCUCAAAAAAAAAAAAAAAGCAACCCCAAGAAGUUGUGCAAGCCGUGCAUGAUGUACGAGUCUGACUCUCAUUCACAUCCCAAAGACUGAGAACUGAACAAAAGGACAGUCCACUGUCCAUGUCCCACACUGGCCACUGGGCCAUGCACACGAACGACAGAUCUGAGUCCCACUGCAAAGGCUUUGAAAACAAAACCAACAUGGAAGGCAGGACCCAUAGGAGCCUAUUUGAACUUGUGGCCUGAAACCAACUAGGCUGAUUGCAUGAUAAAACAAGACACCAACAUUCUCAAUGGGAUUUAAAUAAGAGCAGUCUCAUAGCAUAGUGUCUAAAUGUGCAGGAGACAAUCUAAAAUUACUCUGCAUGUGAAGAACCAGGAAAUCCAACCUGCAAGAGAAAAGACAAUCAGCAGCCACCAACACCAAGAUGACACAAAAACCUCAACUAAUUAUCAGCAAAUAGAAUCAAGCAGCAUUUAAAAACACACACAAAUACCACAACCAAAUGGAGGCUAUCCCAGAAAGGCAAGGCUGGUUCAACAUGUGAAAAUAAAUCGAUGUGAUCCACCAUAUCGGUCUCAAGGAGAAAACCAUGUGAUCAUCUCAAUCAAUUCAAAGAAAGUAUUUGAUGGAAUUCAACACUCAUCCCUGAUAAACACUCUCAGCAAACUGGAAAGUGAACAUGCCUAAUCUCAUAAAGGGAAUCUACAAAAAAGCAACAACAAAAACGACAGGCCAGGCAGGGUGGCUCACCCCUGUAAUCUCAACAAUUUGGGAGUCCAGGAGUUCAAGACCAGCCUAGGCAACAUGGAAAGAUUCCAUAUCUGUUAUUUUUAAUUUUUAAAAAAGGCCAGGCGCGGUAGCUCACGCCUGUAAUCCCAGCACUUCGGGAGGCCGAGGCAGGCGGAUCACGAGGUCAGGAGAUCAAGACCAUCCAGGCUAACAUGGUGAAACCCCGUCUCUAAUAAAAAUAUAAAAAAUUUGCUGGGCAUGGUGGCCAGUGCCUGUAGUCCCACCUACUCGGGAGGCUGAGGCAGGAGAAUGGCAUGAACCCAGGAAGCGGAGCAUGCAGUGAGCUGAGAUCACGUCCCUGCACUCCAGCCUGGGCAACAGAGCGAGACUCCAUCUCAAAAAAAAAACAAAAAAAAACAAAAAACAGGCCAGGUGCCGUGGCUCAUGCCUCUAAUACCAGCAUUUUGGGAGGCCAAGGUGGGCAACAGAGUGAGACUCUGUCUCGAAAAGCAAAAGUAUACAGUCUGGGCACAGUGACUUACACCUGUGAUCCCAGCACUUUGGGAGGCCAAGGAGGGCAGAUGACUUGAGGUCAGGAGUUUGAGACCAGCCUGGCCAACAUGGUGAAACCCCAUCGCUACUAAAAUACAAAAAUUAGCUGGGCGUGGUGGCGCAUGCCUGUAAUCCCAGCUACUCAGGAGGCUGAGGCCGGAGGAGAACUCCUUGAACCCAGGAGGUGGAGGUUACAGUGAGCCGAGAUUGCACCACUGCACUCCAGCCUGGGUGACAGAGCAAGACUCCAUCAGAAGAGAAAGAAAAGAAGAAAGGAAGAAGAAAGAAAGAGAGAGAGAGA